rnacentral:rRNA from 1 species
ACCAGACUCCUACGGGAGGCAGCAGUGGGGAAUAUUGCACAAUGGGGGAAACCCUGAUGCAGCAACGCCGCGUGAGUGAAGAAGUAUUUCGGUAUGUAAAGCUCUAUCAGCAGGGAAGAAGAAGGACGGUACCUGACUAAGAAGCCCCGGCUAACUACGUGCCAGCAGCCGCGGUAAUACGUAGGGGGCGAGCGUUAUCCGGAUUUACUGGGUGUAAAGGGAGCGUAGACGGUUAAUCAAGUCUGAAGUGAAAGCCCGCGGCUCAACUGCGGAACGGCUUUGGAAACUGAGUAACUGGAGUGCUGGAGGGGCAGGCGGAAUUCCUGGUGUAGCGGUGAAAUGCGUAGAUAUCAGGAGGAACACCGGUGGCGAAGGCGGCCUGCUGGACUGCGACUGACGUUGAGGCCCGAAAGCGUGGGGAGCAAACAGGAUUAGAUACCCUGGUAA